GUUCUGGUAACUCUUCGCACAUCAAAAGAAGCAAACGAGAGUGAUCCUGGUUGUAGGUGUCAGUCAAACCUUCUGAGGCUCCGGGGAUUUCGUUCUAUUUCGACCUGAGCGUAAGACUAGAAAAUGAACUACGCUCGUAGUGUCUGGUUUUGUAGGUCUUUUGGACGUGGGUUCGACUCCCACCGCCUCCACCA
rnacentral:tmRNA from 1 species